GAGCUCGCUUCUGCAGCACAUAUACUAAAAUUGGAACAAUACAGAGAAGAUGAGCAUGGCCCCUGCACAAGGAUGACACAUAAAUUCACAAAGCAUUCCAUAUUUUU